GCGAUCUCGACGAGGGUGUGCGCAACCUCCAGCGGGAUCUUGUGUGCCGCCGAUCCGAGCGUCAUCGUCGGCUUGACCGUUCGGUUGGCCAGCAAAAUAGCUUGAUCCCGCUGGUAUGCCUUCAGGGAGGCGGAAUCAAGAGGUUGAGGGAGGCGGAAUCAAGAGGUUGAGGGAGGCGGCGAGAUGAACCUUAGGGCCACGCCGUACGCAACCUUGCCGAGGAGGCGUGGACGACGAGUUUGAUGUUAAGAUUGUCGG
rnacentral:lncRNA from 1 species